AUACGUGCAGUCGAGCGGACAGAUGGGAGCUUGCUCCCUGAUGUUAGCGGCGGACGGGUGAGUAACACGUGGGUAACCUGCCUGUAAGACUGGGAUAACUCCGGGAAACCGGGGCUAAUACCGGAUGGUUGUUUGAACCGCAUGGUUCAAACAUAAAAGGUGGCUUCGGCUACCACUUACAGAUGGACCCGCGGCGCAUUAGCUAGUUGGUGAGGUAAGGGCUCACCAAGGCAACGAUGCGUAGCCGACCUGAGAGGGUGAUCGGCCACACUGGGACUGAGACACGGCCCAAACUCCUACGGGAGGCAGCAGUAGGGAAUCUUCCGCAAUGGACGAAAGUCUGACGGAGCAACGCCGCGUGAGUGAUGAAGGUUUUCGGAUCGUAAAGCUCUGUUGUUAGGGAAGAACAAGUACCGUUCGAAUAGGGCGGUACCUUGACGGUACCUAACCAGAAAGCCACGGCUAACUACGUGCCAGCAGCCGCGGUAAUACGUAGGUGGCAAGCGUUGUCCGGAAUUAUUGGGCGUAAAGGGCUCGCAGGCGGUUUCUUAAGUCUGAUGUGAAAGCCCCCGGCUCAACCGGGGAGGGUCAUUGGAAACUGGGGAACUUGAGUGCAGAAGAGGAGAGUGGAAUUCCACGUGUAGCGGUGAAAUGCGUAGAGAUGUGGAGGAACACCAGUGGCGAAGGCGACUCUCUGGUCUGUAACUGACGCUGAGGAGCGAAAGCGUGGGGAGCGAACAGGAUUAGAUACCCUGGUAGUCCACGCCGUAAACGAUGAGUGCUAAGUGUUAGGGGGUUUCCGCCCCUUAGUGCUGCAGCUAACGCAUUAAGCACUCCGCCUGGGGAGUACGGUCGCAAGACUGAAACUCAAAGGAAUUGACGGGGGCCCGCACAAGCGGUGGAGCAUGUGGUUUAAUUCGAAGCAACGCGAAGAACCUUACCAGGUCUUGACAUCCUCUGACAAUCCUAGAGAUAGGACGUCCCCUUCGGGGGCAGAGUGACAGGUGGUGCAUGGUUGUCGUCAGCUCGUGUCGUGAGAUGUUGGGUUAAGUCCCGCAACGAGCGCAACCCUUGAUCUUAGUUGCCAGCAUUCAGUUGGGCACUCUAAGGUGACUGCCGGUGACAAACCGGAGGAAGGUGGGGAUGACGUCAAAUCAUCAUGCCCCUUAUGACCUGGGCUACACACGUGCUACAAUGGACAGAACAAAGGGCAGCGAAACCGCGAGGUUAAGCCAAUCCCACAAAUCUGUUCUCAGUUCGGAUCGCAGUCUGCAACUCGACUGCGUGAAGCUGGAAUCGCUAGUAAUCGCGGAUCAGCAUGCCGCGGUGAAUACGUUCCCGGGCCUUGUACACACCGCCCGUCACACCACGAGAGUUUGUAACACCCGAAGUCGGUGAGGUAACCUUUAGGAGCCAGCCGCCGAAG
rnacentral:rRNA from 1 species